CAGCCGCCGCGGGAAUACGUAGGUGGCAAGCGUUGUCCGGAAUGAUUGGGCGUAAAGGGCGCGCAGGCGGCUGUGUAAGUCUGUCUAGAAAGUGCGGGGCUAAACCCCGCGAGGGGAUGGAAACUGGACAGCUGAGAGUGUCGGAGAGGAAAGCGGAAUUCCUAGUGUAGCGGCGAAAUGCGUAGAUAUUAGGAGGAACACCGGUGGCGAAAGCGGCUUUCUGGACGACAACUGACGCUGAGGCGCGAAAGCCAGGGGAGCAAACGGGAUUAGAGACCCCCGUAGUCCCUGUCUCUUAUAC
rnacentral:rRNA from 1 species